rnacentral:tRNA from 1 species
GGCGAAGUAGCUCAGCUGGCUAGAGCAGCGGAAUCAUAAUCCGCGUGUCGAGGGUUCGAGUCCCCCCUUCGCUACCA